rnacentral:rRNA from 1 species
UACAGAGGGGGCAAGCGUUGUUCGGAAUUACUGGGCGUAAAGGGCGCGUAGGCGGCCUUCUAAGUCGAACGUGAAAUCCCCGGGCUCAACCCCGGGAACUGCGUCCGAUACUGGAAGGCUUGAAUCCGGGAGAGGGAUGCGGAAUUCCGUGGUGUAGCCGGUGAAAUUCGUAGAUAUUCGGAAGAACACCAGUGGCGAAGGCGGCUCACUGGACUGGUAUUGACGCUGAGGUGCGAAAGCGUGGGGAGCAACAGG